rnacentral:rRNA from 1 species
AUUGCACGCUGGCGGCAGGCCUAACACAUGCAAGUCGAGCGGAGCGGCGGACGGGUGAGUAAUGCCUAGGAAUCUGCCUGGUAGUGGGGGAUAACGUCCGGAAACGGGCGCUAAUACCGCAUACUAUCAGAUGAGCCUAGGUCGGAUUAGCUAUUUGGUGGGGUAAAGGCCUACCAAGGCGACGAUCCGUAACUGGUCUGAGAGGAUGAUCAGUCACACUGGAACGGAGACACGGUCCAGACGCCUACGUGAGGCAUCAGUGGGGAAUAUUGGACAAUGGGCGAAAGCCUGAUCCAGCCAUGCCGCGUGUGUGAAGAAGGUCUUAGGAUUGUAAAGCACUUUAAGUUGGGAGGCGUUACCCGCAGAAGAAGCACCGGCUAACUCCGUGCCAGCAGCCGCGGUAAUAC